ACGUAGGGGGCGAGCGUUAUCCGGAAUUAUUGGGCGUAAAGAGUACGUAGGUGGUUUUUUAAGCGCAGGGUUUAAGGCGAUGGCUCAACUGUCGUUCGCCCUGUGAACUGGAAGACUUGAGUACAGGAGAGGAAAGCGGAAUUCCUAGUGUAGCGGUGAAAUGAAUAUAUAUUAGGAGGAACACCAGAGGCGAAGGCGGCUUUCUGGAUUAUAACCGCCACUGAUGUACGAAAGCGUGGGGAUCAGUCAG
rnacentral:rRNA from 1 species